UACGGAGGGAACUAGCGUUGUUCGGAUUUACUGGGCGUAAAGAGCGCGUAGGCGGUUUAUUAAGUUAGAAGUGAAAGCCCAGGGCUUAACCCUGGAACUGCUUCUAAAACUGGUAAACUAGAGUACGGGAGAGGAUAGUGGAAUUCCUAGUGUAGAGGUGAAAUUCUUAGAUAUUAGGAGGAACACCGGUGGCGAAAGCGACUAUCUGGAACGAUACUGACGCUGAGGCGCGAAAGCGUGGGGAGCAAACAGG
rnacentral:rRNA from 1 species